GUACUAAGGUAGCGCGAUAAUUCGUCUCUUAAUUCGAGAACGGUACGAAGGGUUAGACGUGGGAUUAUUGUCUCUAAAAAAUACAGUUAAGUUUCCUUUUAAAUGAAAAGGUUUAAAUUUAUUAAAAGACGAGAAGACCCUGUCGAGCUUAAUUAAAUAAAAAACUAGAUAUGGUUAAAUGAAAAGUGUUAAUAGUUUAAUUGUUGGCUGAGUUUUUAAUUGAAGUUUAGUUGGGGAGAGCUGAGUUUAAGGUAAUAAACUUAAGAAAUACUAAAGAUCCUCUUUGAGAGAAGUUAGCAAAAGCUACCGCAGGGAUAACAGCGUAAUUCUUUUUAAGAGAUCUUAUUGAGGGAAGAGUUUGCGACCUCGAUGUUGGAUUAGAAAAACUUUUUGGUGUAGCAGCUAGAAGUUGUAAGACUGUUCGUCUUUUAAUUUUCU
rnacentral:rRNA from 1 species